CUGGAAGAGGUGGAGCCUGGCUGCAGCUCUCCUAGAUCCCAUUUAAGUGCUGACUGCCACUGGGAAAGGAUGUCUUUCUGGAGACUGCUCCUUGUGGAGUUUAUUGUAAGCCUGUGACACUGCUCUGGCUCCCAGAGAAAUGUUGCGGUUUAGAAUGGCAUUCUAAUGUCAUUCUUUGCUGUUGAGGACUUCUGAAGCUUAUGAUCUGUGGAUAACUGUUCAUCUAUAACACAUCAAAAACUCAUCUUAGAGGAAUUUAGUAAAGAAUGAGCAACAGCGUCCUUAGGAAUGAACAAGGAAGUAAGCACAUCAGUGGACAAUAAAGACUGCAGUGCUGAGGGCUGAGUAGUUUCAUGCCUGCAUCCAGCCCUGAUAAGGAGUUUGGCUGUGCUGUAAGCUGUGCCUGGGACUGGGAACUUGAAAGCACAGAGAAUUUGAGAACAAAAUGUAGCUUUUAUGGAAUAGCUGGAGCCCAAUCAGGGAAUGGUAAUGCUAUCAGUGUCUGUUAAGUUUCAAAGUGAGAGACAGAGAAUCUCUGGAUAAUGGCUGAUUUGAAUAAAUCUUUGGAUAAUGCA